rnacentral:rRNA from 1 species
UAGGGAAUCUUCCACAAUGGACGCAAGUCUGAUGGAGCAACGCCGCGUGAGUGAAGAAGGUUUUCGGACCGUAAAGCUCUGUUGUUGGUGAAGAAGGAUAGAGGUAGUAACUGGCCUUUAUUUGACGGUAAUCAACCAGAAAGUCACGGCUAACUACGUGCCAGCAGCCGCGGUAAUACGUAGGUGGCAAGCGUUGUCCGGAUUUAUUGGGCGUAAAGCGAGCGCAGGCGGAAGAAU